UACGUAGGGUGCAAGCGUUGUUCGGAUUCAUUGGGCGUAAAGGGUGCGUAGGCGGCGCGGUAAGUCGGGUGUGAAAUCUCGGAGCUUAACUCCGAAACUGCAUUCGAUACUGCCGUGCUUGAGGACUGGAGAGGAGACUGGAAUUUACGGUGUAGCGGUGAAAUGCGUAGAUAUCGUAAGGAAGACCAGUGGCGAAGGCGGGUCUCUGGACAGUUCCUGACGCUGAGGCACGAAGGCUAGGGGAGCAAACGGG
rnacentral:rRNA from 1 species